GCUGGGCAUGGUGGUGCAUGCCUGUAAUCUCAGAGACUCAAGAGGCUGAGGCAGGAGGAUCAUGAGUUCAAACCAGCUUCAGCAACUUAGCAAGGGCCUAAGCAACUCAGCAAGACCCUGUCUCUA
rnacentral:sRNA from 1 species